UUAUUUACAAUGGCUGCCAC
rnacentral:sRNA from 1 species